rnacentral:rRNA from 1 species
UCUGCUCAAGACUAGCCAUGCACGUCUAAGUACAAACUAAAUGAUGGUGAAACUGCAAAUGGCUCAUUACAACGGUUAUGAUGUACCCGGGAGUUCCGAUGGAUAUUUCCAGUAACACUAGAACUAAUACAUGUCCCUGCGUUUAUUAGUUUCGCACAGUCCGUCGCUGAGUCAUGGUAAACAGUUGAUCGACUCGACGUCCCGGAACAGUUUCCGCCCCAUCAGCUUCGAUGGUUGGGUAUUGGCCUACCAUUGCAACAACGGGUAACGAGGAAUUAGGGUUUGAUUUCGGAGAGGGAGCCUGAGAAACGGCUACCACAUCUACGGAUGGCAGCAGGCGCGCAAAUUACCCAAUGCAGACACUGUGAGGUAGUGACGAGAAAUAAUAAAGCGGGACUUCUGUUUCGCUAUUAUAAUGAGGAAUAACCAAAGGUCAUUCCGAUUAUCAACUGAUGGGAAAGUCUGGUGCCAGCAGCCGCGGUAAUACCAACGUCAGUAGC